CAGAAACUCUCCUGCUAUGUAAUCACAUUAGAAUGCCGUCACAGAAAAUGGAACAUAUGGGUGAGAGGAGUGCCAGAAAAUAUUGGAGGGGAAGCAUUACUACACUUUAUCCAACAACUAGUGGCUUUGAUGGGCCUAACAGGAAAAGAAACCAUAGGAAUGAUAUAAGCAACUUUCCGUGUCUGCAGAGCAGCGAUCGUUCCACAAGGAACAUCCAGAGAUAUAAUUGCAGUCAUCAGAGACAUUGCGGUUUGAUCCGCCAUCAUAUCUAAGUCCAGAGAAUUAGGCACUAUUCACUUUGAAGGCUGCUCUGUGUCCAUGUAUGUAGACUUAUAAUUUACAGUGCUGACAGCGAAGAGGCAGCUAGCAAAAACAGCCAAAGUGCUCAGAGAACCAGAG